UUUUAUAUAGUUUAUUUAAAACAUUAUAUUUUCAAUAUAAAAUUAAUAAUUAUUUUUAUUUAUAAAUA
rnacentral:tRNA from 2 species